rnacentral:rRNA from 1 species
GAUGAACGCUGGCGGCGUGCCUAAUACAUGCAAGUCGAGCGAACAGACGAGGAGCUUGCUCCUCUGACGUUAGCGGCGGACGGGUGAGUAACACGUGGAUAACCUACCUAUAAGACUGGGAUAACUUCGGGAAACCGGAGCUAAUACCGGAUAACAUGUUGAACCGCAUGGUUCAACAGUGAAAGACGGUCUUGCUGUCGCUUAUAGAUGGAUCCGCGCCGCAUUAGCUAGUUGGUAAGGUAACGGCUUACCAAGGCAACGAUGCGUAGCCGACCUGAGAGGGUGAUCGGCCGCACUGGAACUGAGACACGGUCCAGACUCCUACGGGAGGCAGCAGUAGGGAAUCUUCCGCAAUGGGCGAAAGCCUGACGGAGCAACGCCGCGUGAGUGAAGAAGGUCUUCGGAUCGUAAAACUCUGUUAUUAGGGAAGAACAAAUGUGUAAGUAACUAUGCACGUCUUGACGGUACCUAAUCAGAAAGCCACGGCUAACUACGUG